UCACUUUUAACAUCUACAGAAACAAAACUACAAUAAUGAAGUGUCAUACGAUUUUGCUUUGAGAUUUCAUCUACCACAACGGAAGAUUCACUGUUCUCAAGGAAUGUUUAGCAGAAGGAAGAAUGGAGCUCAUUCUUUCAAAAGCUCAAUAGCAUUGAGAUGUAGCUCAAACAUACAGGUUGUCAGAUGACAGAUGUCAAACCUAAAUGUUGAUUUGAUAUACAAACCGUUUAGUUGAUUGAGUCGAGAAUGUUGUUGCGCACCAUAAUGUAUAGACAAAAAGGCCAUAAUCCAUCAUGGUGUCUGUAGGGUCAUUUUAGCAUAAAAAAACCUUCGUUAUCCUCUUGACUCCAACAUAAACUGUGUCCAACUCAUAAGAACCCCAAACAUCUUAAGCUAAUUCAUUUCAGACCGAGGUUGAAGAGCAUUAUCAAAACCACCAGGAACAAACACUGGAAGUUGAUUUGAAUGUGAAUCUCUUCUAUACCUUGGCUCUUGGGGUAAGUUUACUGCUAUACUAUCAUGGGCCUCUACUGAUCCCAAAUUUCUUUCAUUUUUCAAACCAUCUUUAGCAGCCACACUCAAAAAUGGACCACCAAAAAAGAUAGACUCUCUUGUAUACGUCAGAUUCUGUGCAUGCUGCCUUGGAGAUUUAUGUGCAGAUGACAUCGGUUCCUAUGGAGGUAUCAUUGGUUUCCUUUCAAUAUUGUUUGUUUCAGUAUUUAAAUUUGGUAUUUCUAUUUGCAGUUUUUUCUUACUAUUAUCCUUUUUAUAAUGGAGAUCUUUGCAAGUUUAUGAUCUUACCGUUUUCCUUUUUUUGAUGUCGAUCUUUGCGGUUAUGGUCUUACCAUCCUCCUUUCAUCGAUGGAGAUCUUUGCAAGUUAUUGAUCUUACCAUCAUCCUUUCGAUGUCGGCAAUCUUUGCAGUGUUGAUCUUACCAUCAUCCUUUCGUCGAUGGCGAUCUUUGCGGUUUGGUCUUACCAUUAUCCUUUUGAUAAUGGAUAUCUUUUCAAAAUUAUGGUCUUACCAACGUCCUUUUGUCGAUUUUUAUCUUUGAAGUUAUGGUCUUACCAUAGUCCUAUUGUCAAUGGAGAUCUUUGCAAGUUAUUGAUCUGACUGUCAUCCUUGGAUAAUGGAAAUCUUUUCAAGUUUAUGAUCUUACCGUCGUCCUUUCUUUGAUGGUGAUCUUUGAGGUUAUGAUCUUACCAUCGUCCUUUCAUUGAUGGAGAUCUUUGCAAGUUUUUGAUCUUAUCGUCAUCCUUUUGAUGUCGGCGAUCAUUAUAGUUUUGAUCUUACCAUCAUCCUUUCGUCGAUGGAGAUCUUUGCAGUUUGGUAUUACCAUUAUCCUUUUAAUAAUGAUGAUCUUUUAAAUUUUGUGAUCUUACUAUCAUCCUUUCAUCAAUGGCAACCUUUCCAGUUAUGGUCUUACCAUCGUUCUUUCAUCGCUGGCGACCUUUGCAAGUUGUUGAUCUCAUCAUGAUCCUUUUGAUAUCAGCGAUCUUUGUAGUGUUGAUCUUUCCAUCAUCCUUUUGUUGAUGGGGAUCUUUGCAAGUUGUUGAUCAUACUAUCAUCCUUUUGAUAAUGGCGAUCUUUGUAAGUGUAUGAUCUUACCAUCGUUCUUUCGUUGAUGGUGAUCUUUGCAGUUAUGAUCUUACCAUCGUUAUUUUGCGGAUGGAGAUCUUUAUAGUUAGGAUCUUAUCAUCAUCCUUUCUUCAAUAGAGAUCUUUGCAAGUUUUUGAUAUUACCAUAUUCAUUUCGUCGACGACAAUCUUUGUGGUUAUGGUAUUACCAUCGUCCUUUCAUCAAUGGCAAUCUCUAUAAUUAUGAUCUUACCAUCGUCCUUUUGUCAAUGAAAAUCUUUGAAAUUUGUUGGUCUUACCAUCAUCCUUUUAUCGAUGGUGAUCUUUGUAGUUAUGAUCUUAGUAUCAUCCUUUCAUCGACGGUGAUAUUUACAAGUUUUUAAUUUUACCAUAGUCCUUUCGUUGGUGGCGAUCUUCGCAGUUAUGAUCUUACCAUCAUCUUUUCGUCGAUGAUGGUCUUUGCAAGUUGUUGAUCUUACCAUCGUCCUUUUGUCCAUAGUAAUCUUUGCAAUUUUAUUAUCUUACCAUUUUCCUUUUCGUCGAUGGCGAUAUUUACAGUCACAAUCUUACCAUCGUGCUUUUGUCAAUGGUGAUCUUUGCGGUCAUGAUCUUACCAUCAUCCUUUCGUCGAUGGUAAUUUGUGCAAAUUAUUGAUCUUACCAUCAUCCUUUUCAUGAUGGCGGCCUUUAAAGUUAUGAUCUCAUCAUUAUCCUUUUUUUAAUGUCAAUCUUUGUGGUUUGAUUAGUAUUUUCUCGUGGGUUAAUGUUGAUCUAGUAUCCUAUCCCAAUAAUAUUGUUUUUUCUUAAAUCUCACAACAUUCCAUCUUUUUAAGAUAAAAUUUGGGAUUUUUUCGUAUUUGAAUGACUUAUACCAUGAAGAUAUGAAAACUUUGGUUAUUCAAAUUUUCGGGUUCAAGAUAAUCAAAUAGGGGUAGGUGUCAUACCUAAUUUUGUCAUACCAUCUAUAUAUUCAUCUACAUCUCUUGUAUUUUUAGGUCUAGGUCAAAUUGAGCUUAUGAUCAAGUAGGCCAUAACCUUUUAUCUCAUCCAUUUUUGCAUUGUACUGUUGCUCAUAGACCAUUUGGCAGGGUGGAUUUUGAUUUCAUCCCAUUAAAGUUAUUGUUUGUAUUUGUUAUUUUACAUAGUCUUUAUGAUUUUUGCAUUGUCUUUAUUUGAAGUCUUAUGCCGCAUUCAUGCAUACAUGUGUUUGCAUAUUUUUUUGGUCAUUUCUUGCUCUUUGUUCAAAACUUAGUGAUUUCACACAUUAUAAAUAAUUGAGUGAUAAGUUUGCUCUGCAAACUUCAACAUUCAUCAAUAGAAUUAAUAAGGAGAGAGACUUUUUUAUUUGAGUUAGAAUUGCAUAUGUGUGAGUUUGAGUACCAAGUUAAAAGUCAAUGGUCCAUUUAUUUUGGUCAUAUAGCAAAAUUGACUUUAAAAUAAACAUUUACAUUAAAUAAUUAUAUCAUUAGACCACUAUAAAGGAAAUACAAAAAAUUUGAGAAUACAAGAAUUAAAGCAAAAAAAAGAGGAGCUAAGUUUUUAGUUUUUGGCUCACACACGGAUUACCCAUUCCCUUCACAAUAUGCCACUAUCAUCCUCAUGAUGGCCAAAGUAUCACCUUCAUCAUCUCAUUAACAUGAACAUCACCGUACACACCAUGCAUUACAUAAACCAAGUGAGUUAGAAGCAAAAUUGGAAAUAAUAAAAUAGGAAAAAGCACACAAGCUUGGCAAUAACUCAUACAUACCAAGCAUCGUCACACAACAGCAUACAUCCCUAUCUAAAUGAAUUUAAAAAAUGGAAAUAAUUCAAAAGCACGACGAAUACGUCAGUUACAUUUCAGUAUACAUCAAUAUCCAGUCAUCAACAUACACUCAUACUCACAACAUACAUACAUUCAAUAAAAUUGAAAUAAAUGUUGAAUUAAAAUAGAAACAAAAAUUAAAUUGGCAAGGCAUAAACACGUAACUAAACCCUUAUACUAUCCAUCACCAAGUUAUCAUCACCAUCAAACUAACACAAAUUCUAACAGAUUUUCACUCUCUAAUUCAUAUCAAACCUUCCCCCCGUGAUAGCACGCAGAUUGCCACCUUGAUUCCCCCUAAAAUCAAUCAAUCUAACAAACUUUUCCCUCUCAUUUUUCCCUCAUCAUCACACUCAAUUCACUAUAAACUAUGCCUCAUUAUGCUCUCUCUCUCUCUCUCUCUCUCUCUCCCUCCUCCCUCCCUCCUCCUCCUCUCUCUCUCUCCUCUCUCUCUCUCUCUCUCUCUCUCUCUCUCUCUCUCUCAUGUUCAUCAUCUAAACUUGAGAUAGUUUGAGCUAAAAAACACUCACACAUCCAACCGGAGCUAUACUUGCCCUAAUUUGCCACAGGAGCACACACAUAGAAGGAAAUGGUAGAAGAAGAGCAUAACAAACAAAUUCAAGCAUAAACAAAGAAAAAGAGUAAAGCUCACUUAAGGUUGUUGGCGUCAAAGUUUCAAGCUUCUGCGAGACUCUAUCUUUCAUUUCCCUUCAACUUUGUACCCAUAUGUUGUUGUUGUAUGCACAGUUGACCAUUACCCUUUGUUAAUUGAUUCUUGCAUGAAGAAUUUUUUGAAUUUAUUGUUUUAGGGUUUUGAAUUUGGUGGUUCGAUUUGUGAUUGUUUUAUGUUGUUUGGUUAAAUUGAGCUUGGAUUUGUGUUUAGAGCGUUAUUUUGGAUAGGAUUCAUAUGAUUUCUUUUUGGAUUUGAGAAUUUUUUAUGGUUUCUAGGUUUAGAUAUAUGAACACCAUUAUGGUGUUCAUACAUAACCACCGUGUGAAUCCUUUUUCCGAUGAGAGGGAAUGUUACAGGUUAUUUGUGUGGUGGUUGGAGAGAGAGAAUAAGAAAGGGAGAAUGGGCUAGGAGAGAUAAGAAGAAUGAGGUUUUGAGUCCCAUACGGUUGACUCCCUCACUUGUAUCUCUCUCCAAUAUCCUCCCUUGGUGACACCUGGCCAUACGUGGCCAGCCCCCUGACCCUAUGAUUUGUUGACUUAGUCUCCUUUACUGAGCCUCAUGGGUGUUUGCCUUGGGUCAUAUCUUGCGCCUUCUCCAAUCCACCAUUUGAUCUGAAGGCAAUCAAAUCCUGAGGUUGACGUUGAGUCAACAUAGUUGACUCCGUUGACUCCCUCAGACCUCCCUUGGACUUGUAUUUGGGCCUCUGUUGCUAAUAGUGCCCCCUUUCAUACUUGCAGUGCAGCCAGUGUUUUUUAUUUAUUUUCAUUUCAGUUUUGGGCCUUUGGGUCAUGUUUAGAUUUUUUUUACUAAUUUCAUUGCCCCCAUAUUUCUAUCUUGCACCCCAUCCUCUUAAUAUUUUCUUUUAUCAUUUUAAUUUAUUUUACUAAUUCUUUUAAUUAAUUAAAUAAAUAAAUGAUAAAUAAAAUGGAUAUUUUCAAUUAAAAAACUCUUAAUUUAACGUCAAGUGGUAUUUUCAAAACUCUUUUCUUUCGAUCAAAUUUCGAAUUAACGCAAAUCAAACUUCGAUCUAUUUCAGUGUGUUUGUUCAAAUCAAAAUGAAGUACCUAAUCACUUUUGAAUAUCUCUCCACAAAGGAUGAAAAACAAACGGUCUAGUGUAUACUAUUCUUUUCCUUGAUUGUUUUGAUACGAGUUAUCUAACUCGACCAUCCGAGCAAUCGUCAUCCGCUUAAAACUCUCAAAUUGAUUCCUCUUGAACCUCUUUCAUAAUAAAAUCUUAAGCAAACUUAUUUUCAUAGUAAAUCGGACGAAAAAGGAACGGUCCAAUGUCUACUAUUCUUUUCCCUGAAUACUUGAAUAUGAGGUGAAUAGCUCGCAUUCGAGUAUUUGUCUUACAUUAAAAACACCUUAACCAUAUUUAAUCCUUUUGCAAUUAAUUGGACGAAAAAGGAACGGUCUAGUGUCUACUAUUCUUUUCCUCAAUUGUUUAGAUAUGAGUUGUCUAGCUCGACCAUUCGAGCAUUCGUCAUCCACUCAAAAACAAACUUCAAAACAUCAAACUAUUUUAUUGCCCUCGCGCAAUCAAUAUUUUACAAAAGAACAUUGUUUAGUUUGUUCUACCACGAUAUAAGCAAACGCUUAUAACCUCCAUCUGCGAGCACAAGCAAUGUUUAACUGCUAGGACGUGGUCCAAAAAUUUGUUCAAUAAAAUCAACCAACCAAUACAUAGUUUUCUACAAUGAACUCCGUAGCUUUGAAUUUCUUAUCGCACCUGAGGAUACAUAGGAGUGAGAUCCGCAAUCUUGUCAAGCACCCUAAUAAAAACCUUUUUGUGACCGCUUUUCUUUUUCUUUUGAACUUUUAAUCAUUCGAAGAAAACAAAUAAUAUAGGCUAAUAUUUUAAUCGCAGAUCUAACUAAAUGAUCUCGUUGGAUGCAACGAAUGCGAGGGGUGUUAAUACCUUCCCCUCGCAUAAUUGACUCCCGAACCCGGAUUUAGUGGUAACGCCCAUUUUAUUUUUCAUUUAAGGGUUUAUAGAUAUUUUUUCUUUCCUCUUAGAAUAAAUAAAGUUUGGUGGAGGCUUUGUUUAAUCAUUCUGAGAGCGUGCGAUGCGCUUGUGGUCGUAUUUUUGCGAUGCGAAAAUAAGUCUACUUUAGAAGAGCCAUUGAUUUCCUUUUCUUUGAGGCUCAUCCUCUUCCAGCUCUAUCUCAUGACUUCUUAAAGAACUUACAAUUUCUUCUAGAAUCGUAAUGUUCAAAAUUUGGACACUUAAGAGCAUUAACCGUAGAAUCAACUUCUUUGGUAAGCUUCUGAUGAUUUUCUUCAUGUGAUCUGUAGUAGUGUAGCCUUUGUUUAGAACCUUUAGUCAGCUACAAGUGUUUGAAAUCUUGAGAACAUGUCCUCAAUAGUUUCAUCAUCCUCCAAUUUAAUGGUUUCAUACUUUUGAAUCAAUGUCAGGAACCUUGAUUUCUUUUACUUGUUUGUUUCCUUCAUAGGUCAUUCUAAGAUAAUCAAAUAUAGACUUUGCAAAGUCUCUAUUUGUUAUCUUUUCAUAAUCAGUGUAUGAGAUAGCAUUCAGCUGGAUGGUUCUUGACCUGUGAUGAUUUUUAUUGUCUUUUUUUUGUGGAUCUCUCAUCUUGCUUCUUUCUAACUUAGCAUCAUUUGUAUCCAAUGGAUGUGUAUAGUCAUUAAUGACCAUAUCCCAUAAUUAUGCAUCAUAACCGAAGAAGAAAUUUUUGAUUAUAUCAUUCCAGUAAUCCAACUUGUCUCCAUAAAUAACUAGAGAUUUAGCAUAGUAGAUUAUAUCAUUCCAAUAAUUCAACUUGUCUCCAUAAAUAACUAGAGAUUUAGCAUAGUAGUGAUCUUUUUCAUUGUUGAUAGCUACCAUAAUGUGUUUCAAAAACUGAAUCUUUUAUUGACACGGUUAAGUGUUUGAUGUAAAAUAGUCAAUACCGUAAACGAAGCUCUGACUUAGUUAAGUGUUUGAUGUAAAAUAGUCAAUACCGUAAACGAAGCUCUGACUUAGUUAAGUGUUUGAUGUAAAAUAAUCAAUACCUUCGAUUCAAUUGAAGGUUCAAGACCAUAUUACUAAAUUAAUUAUUAAUUAAUAAUAAUAUACAUACGUAAUUAGCUUCGUAUAUAUCCAUUCCAUUUUAAAACAAGUAUUAUUGAAAGAAAAAAAAAAGGAAGUAUUUUUAUAGAUUAUUAUCAUCAGUGUUUUCAAUAAACGAAAUGAAGUUGUUAACGAAAUAUAAAAUAAAUAAAAAAAAGUAAAUCGAAGAAAUUAGAAUUAAUCUAAUUUUAAAAUAUUUAAUACAUUUUUUUAUCUCUGACCUAUAAUGAGCAUUUUUUAAUAGUAAAAUGAAAAGUAAUUUAAAUGAAUACCACCAAUGGAUCCAAAUCUAAGACAAAUUGUAAAACGUCAAACAAUUAGAUAGAUCUCUAUGUAAACAUCAAAUCAUUUGAUAGGUGGAAAUGUCCCUUAAUGUAUUUAAAAAUGAAAUAUUUUACCUAAAUCUAAAUGAUUAAUUUUUUUGCUCAAAACACUGUACUUUAAAAUGCACUCACUUUUAACAUCUACAGAAACAAAACUACAAUAAUGAAGUGUCAUGCGAUUUUGCUUUGAGAUUUCAUCUACCACAACGGAAGAUUCACUGUUCUCAAGGAAUGUUUAGCAGAAGGAAGAAUGGAGCUCAUUCUUUCAAAAGCUCAGUAGCAUUGAGAUGUAGCUCAAACAUACAGGCUGUCAGAUGACAGAUGUCAAACCUAAAUGUUGAUUUGAUAUACAAACCGUUUAGUUGAUUGAGUCGAGAAUGUUGUUGCGCACCAUAAUGUAUAGAC
rnacentral:lncRNA from 1 species